AUACAGAGGGGGCUAGCGUUGUUCGGAAUCACUGGGCGUAAAGCGCUCGUAGGCGGAUCAGUCAGUCAGAGGUGAAAUCCCAAGGCUCAACCUUGGAACUGCCUUUGAUACUGCUGGUCUUGAGGUCGAGAGAGGUAAGUGGAAUUCCUAGUGUAGAGGUGAAAUUCGUAGAUAUUAGGAAGAACACCAGUGGCGAAGGCGGCUUACUGGCUCGAUUCUGACGCUGAGGAGCGAAAGCGUGGGGAGCAAACAGGAUUAGAUACCCCGGUAGUCC
rnacentral:rRNA from 1 species